ACACUCUUUGUCCUUAUCUACCCAGCCACAGCUUCCAGUGCAAGUGUCCUUGUGCCCUGGUGCCUGAUAUCCAGCUCCGGCAGCCUAGAAAAUCAGUUAGGCUUUUCAGUCACAGCACCCUCUGUGACAAACGUGUGGAGCACCGCACGACUUCUUCAACCAGCUGGUUUUUCUGGCAUUCGAAUAAAAGUAAAAAUAGAAAACAAAGAGGGAGAAGAAAAGUGACAAGCUGAAACCUGCGAAGAGAAAGAGGACAAGAAAUGAACAAGUUGAUCUGGUCUUGAGGGAGGAGGAGGCACAGGAACACAGUAAAGGAACCUAUCUGAGGAGCUGCAGACAUGAACCAACAAAGCCAGAAGAGCCUGAAGCAAUACUGCAAGUGGGUGCUUUGGUACUGCUUUGAAGCAUCUUUCCAGACUCUGCAGUAGCCAAGGCCUGUGACUCCAGUCCCUGAGAAAGUACCAUCAGGAGCAAUACACAAAUUGCUUACCAAUAUGGAAAUCACCAUAAAGUAAUCAACUGCAACACAUUCUUUGACAUGAGAAGGGAAUUAGAAGAAAGGAUUGCUUCAAAGAGUUUGGUAGCACACUUUAUAUAAACCCCCCUUUUUUUAAUUAACAAAAUGGUUUGGAGUCAUUUUUCUACCACUAGGUAAUUAUGUGAGUGUGAUCUAUAAUCUUCCUCCUGAAAAUUGUUUAUGUCCUAAUUCCCAGGUCAAAUUGAUAGACACCUCUCAAACCACGUGAUAUGGUUUGGAUUUGUGUCCCUGACCUCUUAAGUCAAAUUGUAAUCCCCAAUGUUGGAGGAGGGACCUGGUGGGAGGUGAUUAUAUCAUGGGGGCGGAUUUCCCCCUUGCUAAUCUCAUGAUAGUGAUGAGCGAGUUCUCAUGAGAUCUUGUUGCUUAAAAGCGUGUAGCACCUCCCACUUCUAUCUCUUUCUCCUGCUCUACUUAUGUAAGAUGUGCCUGCUUUGCCUUUCGCCAUGAUUGUAAGUUUCCUGAGACCUCCCCAGCCAUUCUUCCUGUACAGCCUGCAUAACCAUGAGCCAAUUAAACCUCUUUUCUUUAUAAAUUACUGUUUCAGGUAUUUCUUUAUAGCAGUUUAAGAAUGAACUAAUACACCACCCAAUCAGCAAGGCUUUAAAUAAGAAUAAUGCUUCCACACCAGGACUUCCCUAUUCUCAAGAGGACUUUGAGGUUGACUCUGAGGCUUCUAAUUAGAUAACAGUGAUUCCUAGGGCAAGAAUCACUUGCAUGCUGAUAAAAGCCAGGGAGGCUCAGAGAAGCUAGAAACAACUGGAUCAUCAACACAAACUACUGCACUCCACUGGAAUUGAACAAAGACCUUUGCUGAAAUGCCCUAGCCAGCAAGAAAUGGUAACAUUCAGAUGAGAGAUGACCUUCAAGCAAGUACUGGUUAGAGUAUACAUGAGAAGCUAAAGGAAACCAGAAAAAUGAGAACCAUUUGAUUCUCUACAUACAAACUACCUAUGGAAGCCCAGAGAAAUGACUUCUGGCUUAGUAGUUUGCAGCCACUCUCACUCCUCCAAAAUUUGCAGUUUAAAUUUUCACCGUCUCCAACCUCAGGUCUAAGUUCCUCAAGUAGUAUAAAACAUGGAAACAGUAAUAGAUGGAGAAAGAAAGUAAAUUGAGAUUCUUACUCGAGGGAAUUUAUAAAAUUCAGUAUCUAUGAUUCAACUGUAGCAAAUGUAAUUUAACUUUUUUUUUAAGUUUAAUAACAGAGCAGCUUCUCUGUAAGCCACAAAGUUGGCAUCUGAAAAAGUUCUGAUAAACAGUUCAAGCUGUAUGGAAUGUCAUCUCUAGUACUUCUUAAUGCUCUUUAUUUGGUAUUUUGCAUGGUGUGAUGGAAUCAUUUCUUUUUCUUUUACCUGGCAAUGUAAUACUAUCUGUGAAUUCUCAUGGGUUCUAAGAAUAUGAAAAAUAACUUGCAAAAUGAUGUUUUCAGAUAUCUUUCUAGUCUAUGUUAAUAUAAAAUAUCUCACCUUCAUGUUUGAAGCUCUCCAAUCAAAAUGUGCAAAGAGAAGGAAGUGGUUUUAAAGUAUGGGACUUUCAAGGAAUGAUACAGGACUGUGUGGGGCAUGGCAUGUAGGCUUAGGAUAGUAUGAGGGAAGUAAGUGUUUAGAAGUUGGAAAGAAAAGCACCAUGAUGUAAGAGAUAAACCAACAAAAGGUAUGGCGGAUGCCAAGCAGAAACUGUCCAUCUCCAUAUUUAUUAAGGAUCAUCUUGUACCCAAUAAAGUGGGUUUUUUUAAACAGAUAUCUUUCAUUUAUACCAGGUUUCAACCUACUACCUAUUAUGGCUUCUAAUCUUGUCCAUUAAUUUGUGUGUUUUUGUCAAUUUAAUAAGUUUUAUUAGCUAGUUUAUAAAUAGGAUUUUGUGGAGCAGUUUGGAAAUUCAACCAUCACUGACUGUGUUGCUCCUAUAAACAAAUUACAGUUCAGAUUAAAAAAAAAACAUUUAGAACACACUCUAUUUAAAAGUCAAGAGGCUGGUGGGGAGAGGAAAUGGACAGUUAUUGUGUAAUGGAUAUAGAGUUUCAGUUUUGCAACAUGAAAAAGAGUUCUGGAGAUAAAUGGCAAUGAUGGCUGUACCACAUUAGGAAUAUACUUAAUGUCACUGAAUUGUAUAUUCAAAAUGGUUAAGAUGGUAAAUUUAAUGUUAUGUAUAUUUUACCAUAUUAAAA
rnacentral:lncRNA from 1 species